AGUAGGUCCAAUGUUUAAAGUUGGUUUUUCUGAAUGUAGGUUUCCAAGACUGUUCAGCUUACUUAGUGGAGGUAGGAAGCAAUUGUUAAAUGCAAGUUAAUUGUUUUUUCCAAAUUUAUAUCAAAGAAUAAAGACUAGUGAAGCAAUAUGUCAUCCGGACUUUUUCAAAGACAACUAUUUAUCAAGUCAUCUUUUACUUGUUGGUUCUUGUUCCCACUACUGUUACGAUGAUGAGAUGAUAGAUACCAAGUAACAAAAAUGUGUGCAACAAGAAACCGAUUAUGUUGAGGAAUCCGAAUCUGUUUGCAUACACCUACAUGUUUGGUGUCUUACAUGUUUCGGUGUCCGAAACUGACACAUGUAAUUAAAUUCAAUUAAUUCAUUCAUUUUCAAACUUUUAUUAAUGUCGACUUGUCCAAGUCAAU